rnacentral:rRNA from 1 species
GUCCGGUUGAUCCUGCCGGCGAUCACCGCUAUUGGAAUCCGCUUAAGACAUGCGAGUUGAGAGGGUUUAGACCCUCGGCAUACUGCUCAGUAACACGCGGACAAUCUGCCCUAAGGUGGGGAAUAAUCUCGGGAAACUGAGCAUAAUACCCCAUAGGCCAUGGAUGCUGGAAUGCUCCAUGGCCCAAAGCUCCGGCGCCUUAGGAUGAGUCUGCGGCCUAUCAGGUCGUAGUGGGUGUAACGGACCCACUAGCCAACGACGGGUACGGGCGUUGGGAGACGUCGCCCGGAGAUGGAUUCUGAGACACGAAUCCAGGCCCUACGGGGCGCAGCAGUCGCGAAAACUUGUCAAUGGGGGAAACCCCGAACAGGGGAGUCCAAGUGCUUGCACUUUGUGUAAGCUGUUCGGUUGUCUAAAAAACAUCCGAAGGAAGGGCUGGGUAAGACAGGUGCCAGCCGCCGCGGUAAUACCUGCAGCCCGAGUGGUGAUCGAUUUUAUUGAGCCUAAAGCGUCCGUAGCCGGACCAGUAAACCCUUGGGUAAAUUGGGCAGCUUAACUGUCCGAAUUCCGAGGGGACUGCUGGUCUUGGGACCGGGAGAGGUCAGAGGAACUCCAGGGGUAGGGGCUAAAUCCUGUAAUCCUUGGGGGACCACCAGUGGCGAAGGCGUCGUGACUAGAACGGAUCCGACGGUAAGGGACGAAACCCGUGGGGCGCGAACCGGAUUAGAUACCCGGGUAGUCCAGGGCGUAAACGCUGCAGGCUUGGUGUUGGGGACCCUACGAGGGUGCCCAGGUGCCGGAGUGAAGAUGUUAAGCCGUGCCGCUUGGGGAGUACGUCCGCAAGGAUGAAACUUAAAGGAAUUGGCGGGAGAGCACA